UGUUUUCUACGACAUCUAAACUCCUUAUCAAAUGUGACUACUUCAAGCUUAACUCUUCUUCUCAUUGUCUUUUCCUUUAUAUCGAAAUAGAAAACUUCGAAGUAAUCAGAAAAUGGACUUGGUGCAAAAACCAGUUCCCCAGACCCCAGCAUCAGUGAUUCCUGAAAAUUUUAGUUGUUGAUCCCACAAUGUAUGGGACAAAACAAAAGUAUCCAACCAAGUUUGCUCCUUCUCAUCGUCGAGAACCCAAGAAAUAUUACCUUGAGAAAAUAUAAUGAUGCUUUCUACUCUCGUUCAUAUGAUGUUAAACUCAGCCACACAUUUUAUUUAUUUAUAUGGUAUUUGCAGAGAAAACAAUAAAAAAAAAAGAAACUAAUGCAAAGAUUGAAUAAAUUUGGCAUCUAGCUGAGAUACUUGAAAAGUUUUCCUUUUUCUUAUGAGAUAUUCUUGGAGACCAAAAUAUAAAAUUUUAAAGGACCAAAAAAAAGGUUUUCAUUAUAAAAAAUCUAUAUAUAAUAGCAAACCUAAUUUUGUUCUUCUAUGACAUCAGCAUUUUUUUAUAGAAAAAUAAAAUUAUAAUCUAACAGUUGAGUUUAUCAGUACUUUGUAAUCUAACGGAGAAGAUCAUCUCUCAUUUACAAGAUUUGACGUCAUCAAUCUCUUAUUCUCUUUCAACAAAAUACGUCUCCAACCAAAGAUUUUUUGAACGACGCGCCCCUUCUACUUCCGCCUCUUUGCAAUGGACAUCACAAUUGCUUCCUUUCGGUUUCUACGGGUCUCAACAAUUACAGCUUUUUGGAGUCGGCUAUAUAAUUCAGGAAGUUUCAUAUUGAUUAUCCGUUUACAUAUUCUGUCAUCAGUCUCAUCCCUUUAUAUAUUCCAUCAUCGUCAUCCAUGUAUGAAUUUUCCUCUCAUACAGUUCAUCACCAUUGUUGUUCUUCUUUCGUACAUGUUAUUGUCUUUGGAAUUUUUUUAUCUGAUUUCACAGAUAUGUUUCAAUCCAGUGUUUGUUGUUUUAUUUUAAGGAACAAGAUUUUACAAAAAAAAAUAUUUGUGACUGCGUUGGAGGAGAUGGAGUGAAUCAUGUCUUCUUAUUGUCCGAAGUACAAAUCUAUGUUCUCAGAUUACUUAUAGAUUUCGACUUAUUUUGUCUCUAAAAUUGUACAAUUGAUCUGAGAGUCAAAUCUGGGAAGCACCAAGCACCGGUCUCCUUCGUAGCUUCACAAUUAAUACUUCAACGGCGACACGUGAACGCUGCCGGUUUGUCUCGGAUUACUCACGUGAUGGUGGUGGCCGAGAAAACACGGCUGUGAUGUGACGACCGUUGGAUCUCCGGAGAAACUAUAGUUGUAUGGUGGUGGGAAGGAUCGAUGAAAAGAAGGCUUGUGAUGCAUUUGAAGAAGAGGGUUUGCUCUCUGUUUCUGAUCGUUUUAAAAAAAAAAAAAAGAAGCAAAUUGUGUAGGUGCUGUUUUUACCAUUUGUCAACAAUAAAAGAAAAAUGGCCAUUUUCCUUUAAAUUGUUGUUUUUCAUAUUUCUUGUUGAUUCUUAAGGGAUUGAUUUUGUCUGCA